rnacentral:lncRNA from 1 species
AAUGAAUCAAUUCGAUCGUCAAUUUAAAACAUUUAUACAAGUGAAUACCACAAAAUCUUAUGUUAUACUUAAUGAAAGUAUAAAUAAACUCCAAGUGUUAGUCAAUAUAAUGUUUUGAUGGCAUACACAUUGUACGAAACUAGUUUCAACGAUCCACCAUCAAACUUAUUUGUAAAUGCUUCAAGAUCGCAUACGCCAAAAAUCGCAAAAAACAAACAUUUAGAGAUCAAGUAACGGGACAAAACUUUUCGACGGUUAUAAACAAACAUAACGAUUUAAAAGUUAUAUUAACUUCGAUUUUGAUGAUUUUUUACAACUAUCCUCCUUGACCCUAUAUGAAUACAACGAACUGAUUCAAUCCUCAAUUUAAAAUAUUUACACAAGUGGAUACCACAAAAUCUUAUGUUAUAGUUGAUGAAAGUAUUAAUAAAUUCCAAGUGUUAGUGAAUAUAUUGUUUUGAACGCAUUGUACUAAACUAAUUUCAACGAUCCAACCGUCACACUUGUUUGUAAAUGCUUCGAGAUCGUAUACGCCAAAAAUCGCAAAAAAAAAACAUUCAGAAAUCAAGUAACGGGACAAAACUUUUUUACGGUUAUAAACAAAAAAAUCACGAUUUAACGGUUAUUGUAAUUUCGAUUUUGAUUAUUUUUUACAGUUACGCUCUUUAACCCUAUAUGAAUACAAUGAAUCAAUUCGAUCGUCAAUUUAAAACAUUUACACAAGUGGAUACCACAAAAUCCUAUGUUAUACUUAAUGAAAGUAUAAAUAAACUCCAAGUGUUAGUCAAUCUAAUGUUUUGAUGGGAUACACAUUGUAUGAAACUAGUUUCAAUGAUCCAACUGUCAAACUUGUUUGUAUAUACUUCGAGAUCACAUACGCCAAAAAUCUCAAAAAACAAACAUUCAGAGAUCAAGUAACCUUUUUGACAGCUAUAAAAGAAGAAUCACGAUUUAACGGUUAUAUUAACUCCAAUUUUGAUGACUUUUUAUAGCUACACUCCUUGACCCUAUAUGAAUACAACAAACUAAUUCGAUCCUCAAUUUAAAAUAUUUACACAAGUGGAUACCACAAAAUCUUAUGUUAUAGUUGAUGAAAGUAUUAAUAAAUUUCAAGUGUUAGUGAAUCUAUUGUUUUGAUGGGAAAUGCAUUGUACGAAACUAGUUUCAACGAUCCAACAAUCAAACUUGUUUGUAAAUGCUUUGAGAUCGUAUACGCCAAAAAUCGCAAAAAAUAAACAUUCAGAGAUCAAGUAAUGGGACAAAACUUUUCGACGGUGAUAAACAAAAAAUCACGAUU